rnacentral:rRNA from 1 species
AUUGAACGCUGGCGGAAUGCUUUACACAUGCAAGUCGAACGAUGAGACCUAGCUUGCUAGGUUGAUUAGUGGCGAACGGGUGAGUAAUGUAUCGGAACGUAUCCAAUAAUGGGGGAUAACUAACCGAAAGGUUAGCUAAUACCGCAUACGCCCUACGGGGGAAAGCAGGGGAUCUUCGGACCUUGCGUUAAUGGAGCGGCCGAUAUCUGAUUAGCUAGUUGGUGAGGUAAAGGCUCACCAAGGCGACGAUCAGUAGCUGGUCUGAGAGGACGACCAGCCACACUGGAACUGAGACACGGUCCAGACUCCUACGGGAGGCAGCAGUGGGGAAUUUUGGACAAUGGGCGAAAGCCUGAUCCAGCCAUUCCGCGUGAGUGAAGAAGGCCUUCGGGUUGUAAAGCUCUUUCGCAAGGGAAGAAAACUUACUUUCUAAUAAAGAGUGAGGUUGACGGUACCUUGAUAAGAAGCACCGGCUAACUACGUGCCAGCCGCCGCCGUAA